UAGGGAAUAUUGCACAAUGAGCGAAAGCUUGAUGCAGCAACGCCGCGUGCGCGAUGACGGCCUUCGGGUUGUAAAGCGCUCUUCGGGGAGAAGAGGAAGGACAGUAUCCCCGGAAUAAGUCUCGGCUAACUACGUGCCAGCAGCCGCGGUAACACGUAGGAGGCAAGCGUUAUCCGAAUUUACUGGGCGUAAAGCGCGUGCAGGCGGUUCGGUAAGUUGGAUGUGAAAUCUCCCGGCUCAACUGGGAGGGGACGUUCAAUACUGUCGGACUUGAGGACGGUAGAGGGAGGUAGAAUUCCCGGUGUAGUGGUGAAAUGCGUAGAUAUCGGGAAGAACACCAGUGGCGAAAGCGGCCUCCUGGAUCGUUCCUGACGCUCAGACGCGAAAGCUAGGGGAGCGAAC
rnacentral:rRNA from 1 species